rnacentral:lncRNA from 1 species
CUCCAGCAUAUGGAAGUUCUUUAGCCACAGAUUGAACCCAUGCCUCAGUUGUGAACCACAGCUCCACACCCCCCUUAGGCUGUCUUCACACAAUCAACCCUCGUUCUUUCCCUGGAACUGACCUCUGAAGCCUGGGCCUCAGCAUUUAGCUUCCUGAUGAUUGUCUCAGGCUGUGGUGUCUGUGGUACCCUUGGUCUGUGUGGCUCUCUCUCUGCUUUGCCCCCUUAAGUCUGCAGGGUGGGGAUGCCUUUGAAUAAUAUCUUGUAACUUCAACUAUGUAAUGAGGAUAUUAGAACAGAAUAUUUCCAUUUUCUGACUUUCAUCAUUUGUGUUAUUGUUAUUCAUUUUACUUCUACAUAUCUUAUAAUUCUCUGUAAUUACAUUGUUAUCAUGUAAUGGUAUUUCUACUUUAGUAGCUUUUUUAAAUGAGGAAAGUGUGCUUUAUUUACAUAUUGUCCAUUUACUGUUCUCUUUAUUUCUUUGUGUAGAUUCACAUUUACACUUUUUUUAAAAUAUAAAUGUCUUUUUUAAACUUUACUUUUUUUCUUUUUUCUUUUUAAGGCCAUAAAUGCAGCAUAUGGUAGUUCCCAGGCUAGGGGUCGAAUUGGAGCUGUAGCCACCGGCCUAAGCCACAGCCACAGCAACGCGGGAUCCGAGCUGCGUCUGCAACCUACACCACAGCCCACGGCAAUGCCGGAUCGUUAACCCACUGAUCAAGGGCAGGGACCGAACCUGCAACCUCAUCGUUCCUAGUCGGAUUCAUUAACCACUGCACCACGACGGGAACUCCCUCUUCAGGGAAUUUAAUGAGCUAUUUGGGUGCAAGCAACAUUUCUCUAAUGUUUAACUCUUGACUACAGGACUAAAAUAAUAGAAUGCAUAGGCUGAAAAAUAGGGAAGGUAGUUUUAACAUGGGACUAGUUCUGUCUUCCUCUGUUACAUUGCCAGAUUCCAAAGGGCAAAUUGUGACCCAUUUGUCAGGCAAUUCAGUGCAAAUAACUUUAUUUUUAAUGCAAUAGAGUAAAGAAAAAAGAGACAAUAUCCCAAUAUAUUAUUCCUAAAGAAUAUUGCUUCUAAAGUUUUUAUUUCUUGUGUGUGUGCACGCAUUUGUGUCAGUUUCAGGGGUAAAUAUACUGAGCAUGAUAUAAAAUGUACUUCUCACUGUGCAUCACAUUCAAAAAUGUUUGAAAGCUCAUGUUCUAUUUGGUAGCUUGAAGGGAUAAUUUUUUAGAUAAAAUUAUCUGCCUGGGAGUUCCUCUUGUGGCUCAGCAGUAACAAACCUGACUAGUAACCAUGAGGUUGCAGGUUUGAUCCCUGGCCCUGAUCAGUGGGUUAAGGAUCCAGCAUUGUCGUAAGCUGCGGUGUAGGUCACAGACUCAGCUCAGAUCCAGCAUUGCUGUGGCUGUGGUGUAAGCCAGCUGCUGCAGUUCCAAGUUGACAGCUAGUCUGGGAACUUCUGUAUGCUGCAAGUGUGGCCCUAAUAAGAAAAAAAAUUAUCUGCCUGAAGAAUCUAGAAUAUCUGGUUGAAGCCUACAGAAACCCAACACCUCUGCCACUCCUCAACCAGUAUAUUGGAUAGCUUCUCAGCUUCUUAGGUAAAAAUUACCUUGUUUUUCAUUUCAAAUGAUCAUGACUCAUAAAAUCACUGACUUCUCAUUUCCCUGGAAGCCAGCUCAUUUUUUAUUAUUUCUGGUAAAAGGAGGCAUGUCUACAUGUUGAAAUCCGCGGUGACCUAAACACUUCCUUUCAGGUGAUUUCCUACAUCCUUCUCAAAAACUGAGGUUGAGCAGAAACACUAAAUGAUCAUAUUCUCUAUCCUAAUCACUUCCCUUUGUGCCACCUCCUCUCUUUUGUGGGGAGAUGCAUGAAGAGCAGGGCGGUUUCCCCAACUCAGGUCUGUGACACCCCCACGAAGCCAAGCAAUGGGUGUCAUUUCUGUUAACUCCACCUCACUUCAGACUCUGCCCCUCCUUUUGUAAGUCACUAUUCUAUCAAGCCCAGGGUUGAACUUGGCCUUGAAGCAGUCUGGGUUUGGCCAAUGGUCUGAGGAGGGAAGCAGCAGUGGUUGCUAAUGCUGGGGUCACUGUGUUCAGCCUCUGACUGUGUGGUUUCAUGAAUGGCACCCUGGACUGUAUGGCCAAGCUUCCAGCAGGGUCAAGCCCUUACCCCAAGAUCAAAUAUGCCCCAGUGUCAUUGAACACUAACUUGUGAGGGAGGUCUGGUCAAGGUUCUCAAGCUUAUACAAGAUAGCCUUGAGAAAAGAAACUGCAUGGGAACAUCCUACCCACAUCACCAGUAUCUGAAGCUGCCAUCCACUUCUGGUCAGAACUGGCUUCCCUGAAUGAAUAACAAACUAGGCACAGGAAGAGCUGUGUGUGUGUGUGUGUGUAUGUGUGUGUGUGUGUGUGUGUGUGUGUGUGUGUGUGUGUGUGUGUGAGAGAGAGAGAGAGAGAGAGAGAGAGAGAGAGAGAGAGGGAGAGAAAAUGAUGGCGUUCCCAUUGUGACUCACCAGGUUAAGGACCCAUGUUGUCUCUGUGAGGAUGCGAGUUGGCCUCGCUCAAUGGGUUAAGGAUCUGGCAUUGCUGCAACCUGUGGCAUAGAUUGAAACUACGGCUUUGAUCUGAUCUUUGGUCUGGGAAUUCCAUAUUCCAUAUGCCAUAGAGCAGCCAAAAAAAAAAAAAUGGGGAAUGAGGAAAAAUUUUGUUAAUGUAAUUCCCCCUUGGAGACAUUCCUAAUGGCUGUUAUUAGAGCUGAUAUUCAUCUCUCCACCAAAGAGGUUUGAACAAGGCUCAAAUUUCACUGUUAUUAGGACAGAUUCUGGCUUAAGAAACUGAGACCUAUGAGUUAUCAAAGAGAACUGGUUUCUGAGUUUUGAGCACCUGAAAGUACUGAAAGCUGUUUUUAUCCUUAACUAUAUUAGGAAGUUGGGGGACUUGGGGUCAGAGAUGUCCUGCUUCAUAUUUUUGUCAUCUCAAGACACUGCCCCACACCAAGCUGACCAUUGGGCAUUCCCUACUUGGGGCCUGAUAUGAGGCCCAGAAGAGAAAUUUGACUUUUACUAGAUGGUCAAAUAGUCCACCAAACAAAAGUAAUCCACCAAUACUUUAAAAAUAUGUACCCCAAGAGUUCCCUUUGAGGCUCAGUGGGUUAAGGACCUGACAGUCUCCGUGAGGAUAUGGAUUUGAUCCCUGGCCUUGUUCAGGGGGCUAAGGAUCAGUCAUUGCUGCAAGCUGUGGCAUAGGUUACUCCAAGUUGCUGCAGUUGUGGCAUAGGCAGCAGCUAUAGCUCUGAUUCAACCCCUAGCCUGGGAACUUCCAUAUACCACAGAUGUGGCUAUGAAAAGAAGAAAAAAUAAAAAUAAAAA